AUGUGGGUGUCUCCAGGGUUUUGCUGUUACAAACAGUACUGCAGUGGGACAGCAUGUCCAUGCAAAUGUAUAAAGAGUAAAUUCCUAGAUGCACAAGUGCAAUUUACUCUUGCACCCGCAGUGGACGUGAGAACCUGUUUUCCCACAGAUUUACCAGCAGAGUGCGCUGUAAGCAUUUGCCUAUCAGAGGGCAUACGUGAUGGCUGCCAUGGUCCUGGGCACACUCUACUGCAUCUCUUGCCUGGAGCUGGCUCUGGGGAUGAAGGAACAGUUAGGUAAGAGGGGGCAAGGGUCCAAGAGAGGCAGGGAUGGGCUUGUGCUCUGGGGAGUCCCUGCCUGCACUGGGGAGCCCAGGCUGUGGGAGCAUCCUGAACAGGGGAAAGGAUGGUGGUUCUCACCUAUGUGGUCUCAGGGCUUCUUUCCAUGCUCAAACACCUUGAAGGUCUGAAAGAGCUUUUUAGGUGGGUUUGUAUCUAUUAAUAUUUAUGUUAGAAAGUAAAAUGGAG
rnacentral:lncRNA from 13 species